GAUGAAGAACGUAGCGAAAUGCGAUAAGUAAUGUGAAUUGCAGAAUUCAGUGAAUCAUCGAAUCUUUGAACGCACAUUGCGCCCGUCAGUAUUCUGGCGGGCAUGCCUGUUCGAGCGUCAUUACGUCCCUCAAGUCCCCUGUGGACUUGGUGUUGGGGAUCGGCGAGGCUGGUUUUCCAGCACAGCCGUCCCUUAAAUUAAUUGGCGGUCUCGCCGUGGCCCUCCUCUGCGCAGUAGUAAAACACUCGCAACAGGAGCCCGGCGCGGUCCACUGCCGUAAAACCCCCCAACUUUUUAUAGUUGACCUCGAAUCAGGUAGGACUACCCGCUGAACUUAAGCAUAUCAAUAAGCGGAGGA
rnacentral:misc_RNA from 1 species